CCAGGAACAGGGUUAUAGGAGGGUAGCUCUCCAGGAACAGGGUUGGGUUACAGGAGGGUAGCUCUCCAGGAACAGGGUUGGGUUACAGGAGGGUAGCUCUCUAGGUUAAUCAAGUCAAAUGACCUGGAUUUUAACCUUUUAUUUGAAACCUUUUCCAGAAAUAAGAAUUAGAUUCCAAAUGAAAGCAAUCGUCUCAGUGUGGUGCAGGAGGACGGGGCUGGACCAGCUGACAUUAAAAAAAGGGGACAGUUUGAUUAAAAGCUUGAAAUAAAAGUACAAAUCCAGGUCAAAACACAGGGCCCUAAUUAUAGAAACACAACGUCACGGUCCCAUAACACAGGCUGGUAAAGCUCUGUCUGGAUGAGGGAAUGCUGUUGUGUCUCAUAACACCGGCUGGUAAAGCUCUCUCUUGGAUGAGGGAAUGCUGUUGUGUCAGAAGGACAUCAAAAUGUCACAUAACACCGGCUGGACACCGGCUGGUAAAGCUCUCUCUCUUGGAUGAGGGAAUGCUGUUGUGUCUCAUAACACCGGCUGGUAAAGCUCUCUCUCUCUUGGAUGAGGGAAGGUUGUUGUGUCUCAUAACACCGGCUGGUAAAGCUCUGUCUGGAUGAGGGAAUGCUGUUGUGUCUCAUAACACCGGCUGGUAAAGCUCUGUCUGGAUGAGGGAAGGCUGUUGUGUCUCAUAACACCGGCUGGUAAAGCUCUGUCUGGAUGAGGGAAUGUUGUGUCUCAUAACACCGGCUGGUAAAGCUCUGUCUGGAUGAGGGAAGGUUGUUGUGACUCAUAACACCGGCUGGUAAAGCUCUGUCUGGAUGAGGGAAUGUUGUGUCUCAUAACACCGGCUGGUAAAGCUCUGUCUGGAUGAGGGAAUGUUGUGUCUCAUAACACCGGCUGGUAAAGCUCUGUCUGGAUGAGGGAAGGUUGUUGUGUCUCAUAACACCGGCUGGUAAAGCUCUCUCUCUCUUGGAUGAGGGAAUGCUGUUGUGUCUCAUAACACCGGCUGGUAAAGCUCUCUCUCUGUCUGGAUGAGGGAAUGUUGUUGUGUCUCAUAACACCGGCUGGUAAAGCUCUCUCUCUUGGAUGAGGGAAUGUUGUUGUGUCUCAUAACACCGGCUGGUAAAGCUCUCUCUCUUGGAUGAGGGAAUGUUGUUGUGUCUCAUAACACCGGCUGGUAAAGCUCUCUCUCUUGGAUGAGGGAAUGUUGUUGUGUCUCAUAACACCGGCUGGUAAAGCUCUCUCUCUUGGAUGAGGGAAUGCUGUUGUGUCUCAUAACACCGGCUGGUAAAGCUCUGUCUGGAUGAGGGAAUGUUGUGUCUCAUAACACCGGCUGGUAAAGCUCUGUCUGGAUGAGGGAAUGCUGUUGUGUCUCAUAACACCGGCUGGUAAAGCUCUGUCUGGAUGAGGGAAUGUUGUUGUGUCUCAUAACACCGGCUGGUAAAGCUCUGUCUGGAUGAGGGAAGGCUGUUGUGUCUCAUAACACCGGCUGGUAAAGCUCUCUCUCUCUCUUGGAUGAGGGAAUGUUGUUGUGUCUCAUAACACCGGCUGGUAAAGCUCCCUAUUGGAUGAGGGAAUGUUGUUGUGACUCAUAACACCGGCUGGUAAAGCUCUGUCUGGAUGAGGGAAGGCUGUUGUGUCUCAUAACACCGGCUGGUAAAGCUCUGUCUGGAUGAGGGAAGGCUGUUGUGUCAGAAGGACUGUUUUAAUUACAUCAAAAUGUCACAUAAGCAUGUGACUUGUAAUUAUAUAUUUUAGAUGUUUAUAUUCAUACGCCAGAUGUCGUUUGUAAGCCUCGUUUUUUGUUCUCUCAAAGUGUUCUUUGGAUGGAUUGUGCAACAGGUGAUGGUUAUCUUUUGUUUUUGUUUUUCCGACAGCAAAGUGUGCUCACUAUAACAUGAAGUGUAUGGAGCAAUGUUUGGUUUGGAUCUGAAAUGAAUGGAUGAUGAAAAUAAACAUGGUCAGUUGUUGCACUCUGA